GGGGAUUUAGCUCAGUGGUAUAAGUACCUGCCUUGCAAGCAGGCAGGUCGUGAGUUCGAUUCCUGAUCCCCA
rfam:Cavia porcellus supercont2_25 genomic scaffold, whole genome shotgun sequence.